AUUGAUAGAAGAGGCGCGAAGUCCAAGAGUCGCCACAGCAAGGUUGAUCAGAACCGGUGCGGUGUGGUAAAAGGGGCCUUCGCCGAAAUGCGGUCUGACUGAUUUCAGGCGGUGUUGGGUCUUGGCUUAAUAGGUCAAGGACUGUCGCAACGAAGGAGUUGCGGGGCGCUUUCUACGAUA
rnacentral:ncRNA from 2 species